rnacentral:misc_RNA from 1 species
CACCACUCAAGCCUGGCUUGGUGUUGGGCCCCGGGGGUGACCCGGGCCCCAAAGUCGUCGGCUGGAAACCCUUGAUCGCAGCGUCGUGAUUUAUCAAAUUCGCUGAGGUGAUGGGGGGGUCCGCGCCGUGAAACCCAUCAAAGG